rnacentral:rRNA from 1 species
GGGUUGUGAGGUUAAGCGACUAAGCGUACACGGUGGAUGCCCUGGCAGUCAGAGGCGAUGAAGGACGUGCUAAUCUGCGAAAAGCGUCGGUAAGGUGAUAUGAACCGUUAUAACCGGCGAUGUCCGAAUGGGGAAACCCAGUGCAAUUCGUUGCACUAUCGUUAACUGAAUACAUAGGUUAACGAGGCGAACCGGGGGAACUGAAACAUCUAAGUACCCCGAGGAAAAGAAAUCAACCGAGAUUCCCCAGUAGCGGCGAGCGAACGGGGAGCAGCCCAGAGUCUGAAUCAGCUUGUGUGUUAGUGGAACGGUCUGGAAAGUCCGACGGUACAGGGUGAUAGUCCCGUACACCAAAAUGCACAGGCUGUGAACUCGAAGAGUAGGGCGGGACACGUGGUAUCCUGUCUGAAUAUGGGGGACCAUCCUCCAAGGCUAAAUACUCCUGACUGACCGAUAGUGAACCAGUACCGUGAGGGAAAGGCGAAAAGAACCCCGGCGAGGGGAGUGAAAAAGAACCUGAAACCGUGUACGUACAAGCAGUGGGAGCACCUUCGGGUGUGACUGCGUACCUUUUGUAUAAUGGGUCAGCGACUUAUAUUCUGUAGCAAGGUUAACCGUAUAGGGGAGCCGCAGGGAAACCGAGUCUUAACUGGGCGUUAAGUUGCAGGGUAUAGACCCGAAACCCGGUGAUCUAGCCAUGGGCAGGUUGAAGGUUGGGUAACACUAACUGGAGGACCGAACCGACUAAUGUUGAAAAAUUAGCGGAUGACUUGUGGCUGGGGGUGAAAGGCCAAUCAAACCGGGAGAUAGCUGGUUCUCCCCGAAAGCUAUUUAGGUAGCGCCUCGUGAAUUCAUCUUCGGGGGUAGAGCACUGUUUCGGCUAGGGGGUCAUCCCGACUUACCAACCCGAUGCAAACUACGAAUACCGAAGAAUGUUAUCACGGGAGACACACGGCGGGUGCUAACGUCCGUCGUGAAGAGGGAAACAACCCAGACCGCCAGCUAAGGUCCCAAAGUCAUGGUUAAGUGGGAAACGAUGUGGGAAGGCACAGACAGCCAGGAUGUUGGCUUAGAAGCAGCCAUCAUUUAAAGAAAGCGUAAUAGCUCACUGGUCGAGUCGGCCUGCGCGGAAGAUGUAACGGGGCUAAACCAUGCACCGAAGCUGCGGCAGCGACACUAUGUGUUGUUGGGUAGGGGAGCGUUCUGUAAGCCUGCGAAGGUGACCUGUGAGGGUUGCUGGAGGUAUCAGAAGUGCGAAUGCUGACAUAAGUAACGAUAAAGCGGGUGAAAAGCCCGCUCGCCGGAAGACCAAGGGUUCCUGUCCAACGUUAAUCGGGGCAGGGUGAGUCGACCCCUAAGGCGAGGCCGAAAGGCGUAGUCGAUGGGAAACAGGUUAAUAUUCCUGUACUUGGUGUUACUGCGAAGGGGGGACGGAGAAGGCUAUGUUAGCCGGGCGACGGUUGUCCCGGUUUAAGCAUGUAGGCUGAUUGUCCAGGCAAAUCCGGAUAAUCAAGGCUGAGGUGUGAUGACGAGGCACUACGGUGCUGAAGUAACAAAUGCCCUGCUUCCAGGAAAAGCCUCUAAGCAUCAGGUAACAUUAAAUCGUACCCCAAACCGACACAGGUGGUCAGGUAGAGAAUACCAAGGCGCUUGAGAGAACUCGGGUGAAGGAACUAGGCAAAAUGGUGCCGUAACUUCGGGAGAAGGCACGCUGGUGUGUAGGUGAAGUCCCUGCGGAUGGAGCUGAGACCAGUCGAAGAUACCAGCUGGCUGCAACUGUUUAUUAAAAACACAGCACUGUGCAAACACGAAAGUGGACGUAUACGGUGUGACGCCUGCCCGGUGCCGGAAGGUUAAUUGAUGGGGUUAUCCGUAAGGAGAAGCUCUUGAUCGAAGCCCCGGUAAACGGCGGCCGUAACUAUAACGGUCCUAAGGUAGCGAAAUUCCUUGUCGGGUAAGUUCCGACCUGCACGAAUGGCGUAAUGAUGGCCAGGCUGUCUCCACCCGAGACUCAGUGAAAUUGAACUCGCUGUGAAGAUGCAGUGUACCCGCGGCAAGACGGAAAGACCCCGUGAACCUUUACUAUAGCUUGACACUGAACAUUGAGCCUUGAUGUGUAGGAUAGGUGGGAGGCUUUGAAGCGUGGACGCCAGUCUGCGUGGAGCCAACCUUGAAAUACCACCCUUUAAUGUUUGAUGUUCUAACGUUGGCCCUUACCGGGGUUGCGGACAGUGUCUGGUGGGUAGUUUGACUGGGGCGGUCUCCUCCCAAAGCGUAACGGAGGAGCACGAAGGUUAGCUAAUCCUGGUCGGACAUCAGGAGGUUAGUGCAAUGGCAUAAGCUAGCUUGACUGCGAGCGUGACGGCGCGAGCAGGUGCGAAAGCAGGUCAUAGUGAUCCGGUGGUUCUGAAUGGAAGGGCCAUCGCUCAACGGAUAAAAGGUACUCCGGGGAUAACAGGCUGAUACCGCCCAAGAGUUCAUAUCGACGGCGGUGUUUGGCACCUCGAUGUCGGCUCAUCACAUCCUGGGGCUGAAGUAGGUCCCAAGGGUAUGGCUGUUCGCCAUUUAAAGUGGUACGCGAGCUGGGUUUAGAACGUCGUGAGACAGUUCGGUCCCUAUCUGCCGUGGGCGCUGGAGAAUUGAGGGGGGCUGCUCCUAGUACGAGAGGACCGGAGUGGACGCAUCACUGGUGUUCGGGUUGUCAUGCCAAUGGCACUGCCCGGUAGCUAAAUGCGGAAGAGAUAAGUGCUGAAAGCAUCUAAGCACGAAACUUGCCCCGAGAUGAGUUCUCCCUGAGACUUUAAGUCUCCUGAAGGAACGUUGAAGACGACGACGUUGAUAGGCCGGGUGUGUAAGCGCAGCGAUGCGUUGAGCUAACCGGUACUAAUGAACCGUGAGGCUUAACCUUACAACGCCGAAG